rnacentral:rRNA from 1 species
AUUGAACGCUGGCGGCAGGCCUAACACAUGCAAGUCGAACGAGUGGCGGACGGGUGAGUAAUGUCUGGGAAACUGCCCGAUGGAGGGGGAUAACUACUGGAAACGGUAGCUAAUACCGCAUACCAUCGGAUGUGCCCAGAUGGGAUUAGCGAGUAGGUGGGGUAACGGCUCACCUAGGCGAGUAUCCCUAGCUGGUCUGAGAGGAUGACCAGCCACACUGGAACGGAGACACGGUCCAGAAUCCAACGGGAGGCAGCAGUGGGGAAUAUUGCACAAUGGGCACAGGCCUGAUGCAUCCAUGCCGCUUGGAUGAAGAAGGCCUUCGGGUUAUAAAGUACUUUCAGCGAGGAGGCGUUACUCGCAGAAGAAGCACCGGCUAACUACGUGCCAGCAGCCGCGGUAAUUC